GAUGAACGCUGGCGGCGUGCCUAAUACAUGCAAGUCGAGCGAACAGACGAGGAGCUUGCUCCUUUGACGUUAGCGGCGGACGGGUGAGUAACACGUAGGUAACCCACCUAUAAGACUGGGAUAACUUCGGGAAACCGGAGCUAAUACCGGAUAAUAUUUCGAACCGCAUGGUUCGAUAGUGAAAGAUGGCUUUGCUAUCACUUAUAGAUGGACCUGCGCCGUAUUAGCUAGUUGGUAAGGUAACGGCUUACCAAGGCAACGAUACGUAGCCGACCUGAGAGGGUGAUCGGCCACACUGGAACUGAGACACGGUCCAGACUCCUACGGGAGGCAGCAGUAGGGAAUCUUCCGCAAUGGGCGAAAGCCUGACGGAGCAACACCGCGUGAGUGAUGAAGGUCUUCGGAUCGUAAAACUCUGUUAUUAGGGAAGAACAAACGUGUAAGUAACUGUGCACGUCUUGACGGUACCUAAUCAGAAAGCCACGGCUAACUACGUG
rnacentral:rRNA from 1 species